rnacentral:rRNA from 1 species
AACGAACGCUGGCGGCAGGCCUAACACAUGCAAGUCGAGCGCCCCGCAAGGGGAGCGGCGGACGGGUGAGUAACGCGUGGGAACGUGCCUCUUGCUACGGAAUAGCCUCGGGAAACUGGGAGUAAUACCGUAUGUGCCCUACGGGGGAAAGAUUUAUCGGCAAGAGAUCGGCCCGCGUUGGAUUAGGUAGUUGGUGGGGUAAUGGCCUACCAAGCCGACGAUCCAUAGCUGGUUUGAGAGGAUGAUCAGCCACACUGGGACUGAGACACGGCCCAGACUCCUACGGGAGGCAGCAGUGGGGAAUCUUAGACAAUGGGCGCAAGCCUGAUCUAGCCAUGCCGCGUGAGCGAUGAAGGCCUUAGGGUUGUAAAGCUCUUUCAGUGGGGAAGAUAAUGACUGUACCCACAGAAGAAGCCCCGGCUAACUCCGUGCCAGCAGCCGCGGUAAAGU